rnacentral:rRNA from 1 species
GGCGGCGUGGAUAAGACAUGCAAGUCGAACGGGUUUAGUUUUGGAGCAAUCUAGAGCUGAGCCAGUGGCGAACGGGUGCGUAACACGUGAGUCAUCUGCCUAGAAGUGGGGGAUAGCUCGCCGAAAGGCGAAUUAAUACCGCAUGUGGUUGUAAGACUAAAGCCGGGGCAACCUGGCGCUUUUAGAGGAGCUCGCGGCCUAUCAGCUUGUUGGUGAGGUAACGGCUCACCAAGGCAACGACGGGUAGCUGGUCUGAGAGGACGACCAGCCACACUGGAACUGAGACACGGUCCAGACACCUACGGGUGGCAGCAGUCGAGAAUCUUUCUCAAUGGGGGAAACCCUGAAGGAGCGACGCCGCGUGGAGGAUGAAGGCUUUCGGGUUGUAAACUCCUGUCAUUUGGGAACAAAGUCUCACGUUAACUGCGUGGAGAUUCGAUAGUACCGAAAGAGGAAGAGACGGCUAACUCUGUGCCAGCAGCCGCGGU